AGUGAACGCUGGCGGUAGGCCUAACACAUGCAAGUCGAACGGCAGCACAGUAAGAGCUUGCUCUUACGGGUGGCGAGUGGCGGACGGGUGAGGAAUACAUCGGAAUCUACUUUUUCGCGGGGGAUAACGUAGGGAAACUUACGCUAAUACCGCAUACGACCUACGGGUGAAAGCAGGGGAUCUUCGGACCUUGCGCGAUUGAAUGAGCCGAUGUCGGAUUAGCUAGUUGGCGGGGUAAAGGCCCACCAAGGCGACGAUCCGUAGCUGGUCUGAGAGGAUGAUCAGCCACACUGGAACUGAGAAACGGUCCAGACUCCUACGGGAGGCAGCAGUGGGGAAUAUUGGACAAUGGGCGCAAGCCUGAUCCAGCCAUACCGCGUGGGUGAAGAAGGCCUUCGGGUUGUAAAGCCCUUUUGUUGGGAAAGAAAAGCAGCAGGUUAAUACCCCGCUGUUCUGACGGUACCCAAAGAAUAAGCACCGGCUAACUUCGUG
rnacentral:rRNA from 1 species